UUACGGUCAAAUCACGCUGAAACACCGGUUCUCGUUCGAUCAUCGAAGUUAAGCAUCGUAGAGCCAGGUCAGUACUUAGAUGGGGGACCACUUGGGAACACCUGGUACUGUAAG
rnacentral:rRNA from 1 species